rnacentral:rRNA from 1 species
AUUGAACGCUGGCGGCAGGCCUAACACAUGCAAGUCGAACGAGUGGCGGACGGGUUGGUAAUGUCUGGGCAACUGCCCGAUGGAGGGGGAUAACUCCUGGCAACGGUAGCUAAUACCGCAUACCAUCGGAUGUGCCCCGAUGGGAUUAGCUAGUGGGGGGGGUAAUCGCUCACCUAGGCGACGAUCCCUAGCUGGUAUGAGAGGAUUACCAGCCACAAUGGAACUGAGACACGGUCCAGACUCCUACGGGAGGCAGCAGGGGUGAAUAUUGCACAAUGGGCGAAAGCCUGAUGCAGCCAUGCCGCGUGUAUGAAGAAGGCCUUCGGGUUGUAAAGUACUUUCAGCGGGGAGGCGUUACCCGCAGAAGAAGCACCGACUAACUCCGUGCCAGCAGCCGCGGUAAUUC